UAGGUUUGUCCUAAGUCAAACUUUUUCAAGUUUGACCAAGUUUCUUGAAAAAUCUACUUAGAUCUACAAUAUCAAAUAAAUAUGCUAUGAAAAUAUAUACAACGGACGAUUUAAUAAAACUAAUUUGAAGUCCUAGAUGUUAGUAGAUUUUUCUAUAAAUUUGGUCAAACUUGAUGAAGGUUGAAUUAGGACAAACCUAG
rnacentral:pre_miRNA from 1 species